UACAGAGGUCUCAAGCGUUGUUCGGAUUCAUUGGGCGUAAAGGGUGCGUAGGCGGCGCGGUAAGUCGGGUGUGAAAUCUCGGAGCUUAACUCCGAAACUGCAUUCGAUACUGCCGUGCUUGAGGACUGGAGAGGAGACUGGAAUUUACGGUGUAGCGGUGAAAUGCGUAGAUAAUCGUGAAGGAAGACCAGUGGCGAAGGCGGGUCUCUGGACAGUUCCUGACGCUGAGGCACGAAGGUCAGGGGAGCAAACGGG
rnacentral:rRNA from 1 species